CCACCGUCCGAUGCACUCCGAACGGCUUCGAUCUGGCGGAAUGGUCACACCGCCCAAACGCACUUCUCAGGUGGCCCGGAUCUACAAGCCCUCGAACCCCCCAGCCGCUCCGGCGACGGUCCGGCGGUCGCCUUCCUCCUCCCGCUUCGACUAAGGUUAGCCCCCCUCCUCUCCCACCUCCUUCUGCUUCUCCGUCUUCAUGCCUUCAUCGUGCCCCACACUCGUGAGCUCGUUGCUCCAGAUCCACGAACACGGGCAACGGUUCCUCCUCUUCUUUCAGCCAAUCGUCACGUCACAGGUUUCAGUGUUUCGGAACACAAUGGAUGGGCAGAGCAGAAAGCACAGGAUUUUGAUGGUGUCUGACUUUUUCUUCCCAAACUUUGGCGGUGUGGAAAGCCACAUCUAUUAUCUAUCGCAGUGCCUCCUUAAGCUUCGCCAUAAGGUUGUUGUCAUGACACAUGCAUAUGGGAAACGUUCUGGAGUACGAUAUGUUACUGACGGCUUGAAGGUUUAUUAUGUGCCAUGGAGGCCAUUCCUGAUGCAGAAUACACUGCCUACAUUAUUCAUGACAUUUCCAAUUAUAAGGACCAUUCUUAUUCGUGAGAAGAUAUCAGUUGUGCAUGGGCAUCAGGCCUUUUCAACAAUGUGUCAUGAAGCAUUGAUGCAUGCUAGGACGAUGGGGUACAAAGUUGUCUUCACGGACCACUCGCUUUAUGGUUUUGCUGAUGUUGGAAGCAUUCACAUGAAUAAGGUGCUGCAGUUUACUCUUGCAGAUAUUGAUCAGGCCAUAUGUGUAUCUCACACAAGCAAAGAGAACACUGUCUUGAGGUAAGGGAUAUCUCCAGAGAAGGUUUUCAUGGUUCCUAAUGCAGUGGAUACUACAAUGUUUACUCCCUCCUCGAACCGCUUAAGCUGUGAUGUAAUCAUUAUUGUUGUGAUAAGUAGAUUAGUAUAUCGAAAAGGUGCCGACCUUCUUGUUGAAGUCAUUCCAGAAGUAUGCCAUUUAUUUCCAAAGGUUCGUUUUAUUGUUGGAGGCGAUGGUCCAAAACGUGUGCGACUUGAAGAGAUGAGGGAGAAGUUCUCCCUUCAGAAUAGAGUUGAGAUGUUAGGGGCUGUACCUCGUGCUCAAGUAUGAUCUGUUCUGAUAUCUGGUCAUAUAUUUCUUAACAGGUACCUUUCUGAGUAUUCAUUCUUUUGUGUUCAAAAUAUCUAGAUUGUUGGUUAUAUAUGUGCCUUUUUCUGUUCUUACUGGAUUUCUACUUUGCCAUCGAUUAUCGUAUACUCUUAUCUGUUGAAAUAGUCCUGUCAGGUUCCAAUUUUCAGUUUUUGUUGCGACGGAUGAAGUUGCUUUUACCAAACUUG